rnacentral:misc_RNA from 1 species
UGUUUGACAGCAUUGAGAAGUAUGGUAUGUUUAUAUUCCAGUACAAAGGAUUGCUUAGCAUGAACAUAAUUAUAUGCUCCAAUUCAUAUGACUCAUGUUAGAACAUGUAAUUUACCAGUCUUCUUGUCAAAUCAUGAUUUGACGCUUUUAUGGCUAGUUUGAUCAGCAAAUAGAAGAAUUUUAAUUUUUCUAGCAAUAUGUUAGAAGCUUCUCUUGAUUAUAUUGCCACUGGCACAUAUAAUGUAUCUGGAAUGGUUGAUUAAGAAGCAUAACUAUGAGAAUCUGUUGCUUAGCUUUCUAUUCCACUUUGAAUAUCAACUUAAGGAUUAUUUAUAGUGAUGCUAGAUUGAUAGGAUCUUGCUUGUACUCUUUGGAUCAGACCGUUUAUGUUUGGGUUUGUCUCUCUCUGAUUUUGUGGAAUGCCUUGUGGGACCAAACUAUUCAAUGGAAUCUAAUACAAACUUUAUUUGCAUCUUAGUCCUACUGGCUAGGGUGAGCUGUGAGCAUGGUUUGGGUAACUGAAUUGUGACCCCAAUUUUUUGAAUUCAGUUCACAUGAAUUGUAAUCUGAAGCCGGCCCCAUCAGACCAGUUUGGUUUCAAUCUGUUUUGGGUUUUAAAUAACGGCCGUUAUAUUACGUAGCGGCUAUUAUUUAUGGGUUUUUCAAGGGGCUGUUACCCUUUAUCUCAUUAUUUAA